UGGCUCAUUAAAUCAGUUAUCGUUUAUUUGAUAGUACCUUACUACAUGGAUAACCGUGGUAAUUCUAGAGCUAAUACAUGCUAAAAACCCCAACUUCGGGAGGGGUGUAUUUAUUAAAUAAAAAACCAAUGCCCUCCGGGGCUCUUUGGUGAUUCAUAGUAACUUAACGGAUCGCAUGGCCUUGCGCUGGCGACGGUUCAUUCAAAUUUCUGCCCUAUCAACUUUCGAUGGUAAGGUAUUGGCUUACCAUGGUUUCAACGGGUAACGGGGAAUUAGGGUUCGAUUCCGGAGAGGGAGCCUGAGAAACGGCUACCACAUCCAAGGAAGGCAGCAGGCGCGCAAAUUACCCAAUCCCGACACGGGGAGGUAGUGACAAUAAAUACUGAUACAGGGCUCUUUUGGGUCUUGUAAUCGGAAUGAGUACAAUUUAAACCCCUUAACGAGGAACAAUUGGAGGGCAAGUCUGGUGCCAGCAGCCGCGGUAAUUCCAGCUCCAAUAGCGUAUAUUAAAGUUGUUGCAGUUAAAAAGCUCGUAGUUGAACCUUGGGCCUGGCUGGCCGGUCCGCCUCACCGCGUGUACUGGUCCGGCUGGGCCUUUCCUUCUGGAGAACCCCAUGCCCUUUACUGGGUGUGCGGGGGAACCAGGACUUUUACUGUGAAAAAAUUAGAGUGUUCAAAGCAGGCCUUUGCUCGAAUACGUUAGCAUGGAAUAAUAGAAUAGGACGUGCGGUUCUAUUUUGUUGGUUUCUAGGACCGCCGUAAUGAUUAAUAGGGAUAGUCGGGGGCAUCAGUAUUCAAUUGUCAGAGGUGAAAUUCUUGGAUUUAUUGAAGACUAACUACUGCGAAAGCAUUUGCCAAGGAUGUUUUCAUUAAUCAGUGAACGAAAGUUAGGGGAUCGAAGACGAUCAGAUACCGUCGUAGUCUUAACCAUAAACUAUGCCGACUAGGGAUCGGGCGA
rnacentral:rRNA from 1 species